ACGUGACCCGGAAGUAUUCCCAGUUUGUUUAGAGGCUGCCCCGCUGCCACGUGGAACUGCACCCAUUUGAGUUGUCGUGUAUCACAGUUUCCUGGCUUCUGGCAGACAGGCCUUAGAGGGGUGGGCAAUGACUCACUGCAGAGAGACAAAGAGGCAGCCGGAACCAUAGCUUCGAGCAGCUGCAGAUGCUUCGGAGCACAAAAGCACAAGCACCGAAGUGGGGGGCGGCAGCAGGAGCGUCAGCUGCGGCGGAUGGCGGAAGUGGAGCCGAGAACCAGGGAGCGAGCGUGGGAGUGGGCGGCGUGGAGCUGAAACUGAAGCCCAGAGUGGCGCAUGGGUGGCUGUGUGUUCAGGACUAGUCCUCUGUAAGCAAUCAGAAAUAGGAGGGCUUUUGGAACUGUAGCAGCAAUAUAAGUGAACAAAACAAUAUCCUUUCCUUUAAGAAGUUUUCAGUCUGACUCAGAGACAGUGCUCUUCCCACAAGGUGAAGUCCUGCAGCCCAUUUGGUUGCUGUGACCCGUGCUCUCGGUUUCAGCUGGGCUCUUAGGAACUUCAUACUGCGGCAAUCUGUGGAAACCCUGCUGAAGCAGCAUGUAAUGCCGGAGAGCGCAUGGUCUGAAAUCGAUCCUUGUUUCAGAAAGUUUCCUUUUAAGUGUCCGAAGCCCAGACUCCACUUAGAGAAGUCUCCUGGGGAGCAGUCAGCUGGCCCUCACAAGUGCCAAAGCUGGGGUGACCCGAGGAAGCCAGGAGGGAGGCUUGGCAGGACAGCCAGCGAGCCCUCGUAAGCAGGCAGAAGCGACGCAGGAGGGCGAGAGAUGGCGCCUCGCCCUCCUAAGAGUCCUCGCCACAGAUGUCAGCGCCAGCAGGCUGGGGAGGUGCGGGCUACUAACC